rnacentral:misc_RNA from 1 species
GUAAAAUUGGAUUUUCAUUAAGAUUUUGCAAAUGAAUCCAACCAUCUGGUUUUCGGAUAUACAACAACCAACAAAUAACGCCAGCAGCAAGCACCAUAGCAGAUUGCGUACCCUCAGAAGUAUUCUGUAUGGACAGAGACCCAUUAUUUCAAGCCACUCCGAACCUUAUAACUUUCAGGCCUGUCACUUGCUUGGCAACAGACGGUAAUUAAGUACAAGAUCUU